UACGGUCUCAGUUCAGAUUGCAGGCUGCAACUCGCCUGCAUGAAGCUGGAAUCGCUAGUAAUCGCGAAUCAGCAUGUCGCGGUGAAUACGUUCCCGGGUCUUGUACACACCGCCCGUCACACCAUGGGAGUUGGUAACGCCCGAAGCCAGUGACCCAACCGGAAACGGAGGGAGCUGUCGAAGGGUGGGACCGAUAACUGGGGGUGAAGUCGUAACAAGGUAAC
rnacentral:rRNA from 1 species